GGAAGAGGAGGGUGCAGAAGCAGAUGCUGGAGUUCAGGUACAUGGAUUUGAGUGCAGAUGAGGAGGAGUGGGCUGCAGAGGCUUAAGAUUUGGCUCCUAAUGGAGAGCAGAGUCCUGCUGUGUUGUUUGCACUGCUGUGUGUUGUAAAACUAGGAGUGGAUGGUAUGUUCUCAGUCUUGUUUAAUCACGCCCUGACAAGCAAGAAUAAGAAGCAAUUGGAGGAAAUGUCUGACACGAUUCCCUGCCUUCAGGGAGGCCAGUCACUUGCACGCUUUUAACAAUCAUAUUCUUUGCAUGGUUUCGUUCUUAUUUUCCAUGUCCCGUGCAUCAGUUGCUGACUGCUGUCCAGUAAUUCCCGUGGUACAGAUGUAUCUUGAGAAAGGAGCUGAGAGAGGACAUAAACCUCUUAGAGAAGUAGCUCAGUGGCCGUGUCUAAAGCAUUAGAGACAGCAUUUUUCUUUUCUAUCUUAGUAAGGAUUUGCUGUUUUGAAGUGGUCAGCUGCUUUUGUUUGGUAAACACCAAUGUGUUGCUGUUAUUGUAAGAUUUUCUGGGCAAGGGAUCUUCCUUCCUAUCUCUCCUUCUCAAGAAAAGAAGAUCAAGCGUGCUCAAAUGCUCUGAGGAAUAAAUCAUCUAAGAUGGAAAGGACCUUCAAAUUCUGAUCGUCAGCCUGACCUACCAAGUCCCAUCACCAGCCCAUCCCUUGAUGCCGUGUCUAUAAAUCUCUUGAAUACCUCUAGGGACUGAGACUCCAUCACUUCUCUGGACAGUCCCUUCCAAGGCUUGCACACCCUCUCUGUGAAGAAAUUCUUAGUAAUAUUCAAUUGGAACGUUCUCUGGCACAACGUGAGACUGUUUCCUUGCAUCCUCAUUUUAGAGGCUUCUCCCCCGAACUGCUGCGUUGUAAACUUGGGCAAAGCUUUGACCUACCAGGUCUGAUGACUCUGGCCUUCCACUGUAAAAUGUUUGGGAUCCACAGAUGUAAUGCAGUGGCUUGCAAUAGAAAGCAAGGGUUUAGGGGAAGAGAGAGGAGAACAUUAUAGUCUCUCUCACCUCUGAAAUGAUAGCUAAAUUACAACAAUUUAAUCAAAAAACUGUGUAGGAAGACAGACACAUCCAUCAGCUAAAGAAGGGUAAAGGCAUUGCAGGGUAAGGAGCCUUUGGAAGUAAUAAGUCAGAGCUAACCUCCUUGGCGGCAAAUCAAAGUUCUUUGCUUACUUCAAGAGCCAAGGAGGACAUCUCACAUCUGUUCCCAGAACAGCACAAAGCAACCCGUGUCCUAGUAAUGGGCAAGAGUAAAUAUUUCCACACUGGUUUUACUUACCUGGCAACAGGUUUUCUUCUGUUGGACUUGAGGCAAAAUUAUAGAUGGAGUGCCCUUUUCCUAGACUUGCAAUGGAUAAACAAAAGAGAUGUUUUUCUCAAAAAUUAUUUUCUCAAAAAAUGUAGGGAACCAGGCUUGUUGUCCUGCCAUUAAGACUGGAUCACAAAAGAAUUGGAACACUGAGAUUAUGCGUUGGUAAUAUCCCCGUGAUUCAAACACAUGAGUACGUGGCUGCCUGGAGAAGAGGUCUGUGUCCAGUUUAUAUCGCUAUGGUUUUAUUCCUACAGUUGCAUUUGCAAUGGUCACUGUAACAGUUUAUGGUCAGUGGUCAGUGCAGUAGUCUAUCCAUUUCUCGGAGGCAUGUGAAUGCAUCAAGGGCCUGUCAAAAGAAGCUGAGGGAGCUGGAGGGGAAGUUCUGCUGCUGGAGCAGUCUUCUGGAUGGAGCCUUUUCUUCCAGCAGGUUGCUAUGAAGAAGGAAGUGGUAUUGGAGCCCACUCUGGUGUAGCACAUCUGCAUUUUUUCCCAAAUGAAACUCAGACCUUGAAGUCUAUUUCUGAAGGAGUUGUGUUCUCCAAGCAAGAAAUUUGAGCUUGUUUUCAGAGCUGGGCAGUGGCACUAUGGGCACCCCCUCUGGCAGAGGUGCCAAAGAACAACGUGUGGUCCCAAAGCUCCCAGCAGAAGCUGGACACCACCAUGACCCCAGGGGCUUCAGAGAAGACCAUGAAGGCAAGGAUUAGCACGGGAAAGCAA
rnacentral:lncRNA from 1 species